rnacentral:rRNA from 1 species
AUUGAACGCUGGCGGCAGGCCUAACACAUGCAAGUCGAGCGGUAGAGAGAAGCUUGCUUCUCUUGAGAGCGGCGGACGGGUGAGUAAUGCCUAGGAAUCUGCCUAGUGGUGGGGGAUAACGUUCGGAAACGGACGCUAAUACCGCAUACGUCCUACGGGAGAAAGCGGGGGACCUUCGGGCCUCGCGCCAUUAGAUGAGCCUAGGUCGGAUUAGCUAGUUGGUGAGGUAAUGGCUCACCAAGGCGACGAUCCGUAACUGGUCUGAGAGGAUGAUCAGUCACACUGGAACUGAGACACGGUCCAGACUCCUACGGGAGGCAGCAGUGGGGAAUAUUGGACAAUGGGCGAAAGCCUGAUCCAGCCAUGCCGCGUGUGUGAAGAAGGUCUUCGGAUUGUAAAGCACUUUAAGUUGGGAGGAAGGGUAGUAACUUAAUACGUUGCUACUUUGACGUUACCGACAGAAUAAGCACCGGCUAACUUCGUG